CCUGGCCUUGACAUACUAAGAACUUUCCAGAGAUGGAUUGGUGCCUUCGGGAACUUAGAUACAGGUGCUGCAUGGCUGUCGUCAGCUCGUGUCGUGAGAUGUUGGGUUAAGUCCCGCAACGAGCGCAACCCUUUUCCCUAUUUGCCAGCGGGUAAUGCCGGGAACUUUAAGGAUACUGCCAGUGACAAACUGGAGGAAGGCGGGGACGACGUCAAGUCAUCAUGGCCCUUACGGCCAGGGCUACACACGUGCUACAAUGGUCGGUACAAAGGGUUGCUACCUCGCGAGAGGAUGCUAAUCUCAAAAAGCCGAUCGUAGUCCGGAUCGCAGUCUGCAACUCGACUGCGUGAAGUCGGAAUCGCUAGUAAUCGCGGAUCAGAAUGCCGCGGUGAAUACGUUCCCGGGCCUUGUACACACCGCCCGUCACACCAUGGGAGUUUGUUGCACCAGAAGUAGGUAGUCUAACCGCAAGGAGGACGCUUACCACGGUGUGGCCGAUGACUGGGGUGAAGUCGUAACAAGGUAGGCGUAGAUGA
rnacentral:rRNA from 1 species